AGCGGACAGAUGGGAGCUUGCUCCCUGAAGUCAGCGGCGGACGGGUGAGUAACACGUGGGCAACCUGCCUGUAAGACUGGGAUAACUCCGGGAAACCGGGGCUAAUACCGGAUAAUUCUUUCCCUCACAUGAGGGAAAGCUGAAAGAUGGUUUCGGCUAUCACUUACAGAUGGGCCCGCGGCGCAUUAGCUAGUUGGUGAGGUAACGGCUCACCAAGGCAACGAUGCGUAGCCGACCUGAGAGGGUGAUCGGCCACACUGGGACUGAGACACGGCCCAGACUCCUACGGGAGGCAGCAGUAGGGAAUCUUCCGCAAUGGACGAAAGUCUGACGGAGCAACGCCGCGUGAGUGAUGAAGGUUUUCGGAUCGUAAAACUCUGUUGUUAGGGAAGAACAAGUACCGGAGUAACUGCCGGUACCUUGACGGUACCUAACCAGAAAGCCACGGCUAACUACGUGCCAGCAGCCGCGGUA
rnacentral:rRNA from 2 species